UACGUAGGGGGCAAGCGUUGUCCGGAAUCAUUGGGCGUAAAGAGCGUGUAGGCGGCCCGAUAAGUCCGCUGUGAAAGUCCAGGGCUCAACCCUGGAAUGCCGGUGGAUACUGUCGGGCUCGAAUCCGGAAGAGGUGAGUGGAAUUCCUGGUGUAGCGGUGAAAUGCGCAGAUAUCAGGAGGAACACCAACGGCGAAGGCAGCUCGCUGGGACGGUACUGACGCUAAGGCGCGAAGGCGUGGGGAGCGAACAGG
rnacentral:rRNA from 1 species